rnacentral:rRNA from 1 species
GAAGGGCGUUUGGUGGAUGCCUUGGCAGCAAGAGGCGAUGAAGGACGUGAUACUCUGCGAUAAGCCAUGUGGAGCCGAGAAUAGGCUUUGAUACAUGGAUCUCCGAAUGGGGCAACCCACCUGACAGUUUGUUAUAAUUACCGCAAGGUAGCUUAUAACGGGCUGAAACAGGUACUUCUUACCUGAAUACAUAGGGUUUGAAGAGCAAACCCGGGGAACUGAAACAUCUAAGUACCCGGAGGAAAGGAAAUCAAUUGAUACUCCCCUAGUAGCGGCGAGCGAACGGGGACCAGCCGAGCCAGAUGAGUGAUCAGAAUGUGUUGGGAAGCACAGCCAUAGUGGGUGACAGCCCCGUAUGAGAAGCUCUGAUGGACGUAUUAAGUAGGGCGGGACACGUGAAAUCCUGUCUGAAGAUCGGAGGACCACCUUCGAAGGCUAAGUACUCCUUGCUGACCGAUAGCGAACCAGUACCGUGAGGGAAAGGUGAAAAGCACCCCGACGAGGGGAGUGAAACAGUACCUGAAACCGAACGCCUACAAUCAGUCGGAGGGACCUCGAGUCCUGACGGCGUACCUUUUGUAUAAUGGGUCAUCGACUUGGUCUAUCUAGCAAGCUUAAGCCGUUAGGUGUAGGCGCAGCGAAAGCGAGUCUUAAUAGGGCGUCGAGUUAGAUGGAUCAGACCCGAAACCGAGUGAUCUAGGCAUGACCAGGAUGAAGGUAAGGUAACACUUACUGGAGGUCCGAACCCACACCUGUUGAAAAAGGUCGGGAUGAGUUGUGCCUAGGGGUGAAAGGCCAAUCAAACUCGGAGAUAGCUGGUUCUCCGCGAAAUCUAUUUAGGUAGAGCGUCAUCCGAAUACCCCGGGGGGUAGAGCACUGGAUGGGUAAUGGGGCCCCACAGGCUUACUGAUCCUAACCAAACUCCGAAUACCCGGGAGUACUAGAUGGCAGACACACUGCGGAUGCUAACGUCCGUAGUGGAGAGGGAAACAACCCUGACCUACAGCUAAGGCCCCCAAUUCAUGGCUAAGUGGGAAAGCAGGUGGGACGACCAAAACAACCAGGAGGUUGGCUUAGAAGCAGCCAUCCUUUAAAGAUAGCGUAACAGCUCACUGGUCUAAAUAAGUUGUCCUGCGGCGAAGAUGUAACGGGGCUCAAGCCAUGAGCCGAAGCUUAGGAUGCGCAUAGCGCAUGGUAGCGGAGCGUAGUGUGACAUAGAACUCUGUCUCUUUAGCCUUCCUCGGAAGGCGUUAGAGACAUGAGUUCUUUCGAAGAAGCCGGGCUGUAAGGCAUCCGGUGGAGAGAUCACUAGCGAGAAUGAUGACAUGAGUAGCGACAAAGAGUGUGAGAGACACUCUCGCCGAAAGUCCAAGGGUUCCUGCUUAAAGCUAAUCUGAGCAGGGUAAGCCGGCCCCUAAGGCGAGGCCGAAAGGCGUAGUCGAUGGGAACCAGGUUAAUAUUCCUGGGCCGUGUGGUGGUGACGGAUCGUGGCGACGCAU